GCCCUGUUCAUGGUCUGCACCGCCAGUCUGGCCCUUAGCUUUCACUGCUUCAUGACUAUUAGUUGUGUUUUCACAUGUAAAAAUCUUAACUCCCAACUAACACCGUGCCAGGAACAGAAGGAAACACUUGGGAGUUCAUCCUCUCUCUUUCCUUUUCUAUCUCCUCUUCCCAAAUGAGUCACCAAACAACUUUGGGUGUCUACCUGCUUUCAAUGUUCUAAAAAAGCCUUUUCAAAGUCUGACCAAUAACACACAAAAUCCUGGUGAACAGGCCAAGCACAGGGCAGAGCUGAAAAAUUCCUGCUUAACCUGAAUCAUUUUUCCCAUACCAAUAUCCAGGUAUUGGUUUCAUACAAUGUAUCAUAAUAAUUUAGUUCAUUGCAUCAUAAUAAUGCUUUGUGCAGUGACUAUAAAGGAGGACUCUGUUAGGCAGUGUCAUUCGUGUAAUUGUUAAUAUCUCACUUUCUUGGAACAUCCUAACUUCAACCUCUGAAGGAAAGGGAUUGGCACUCAAAGGACUCAAAAAGCCCUGACUUUGCUUCCCAUCCUGGGGAAGUCAGAGCAAAUCACAGACCAACUGAAAGAAGGAGUUUCCAUUAACACUGACAUAGGAAUCUUUACAAAAAUCUUCCAAUCAUAUGAGGAUUGCUUUUGCCUAGACAUAAGGGCUACAAAAUGCCUACACCUGGCCAAAGGGUCUAAAUUGCUCCAGCAGCCAAGGGGGAAAUCAGCCUGACCCAUUUCUACCAAAUAUUCUUAUUCUCAGCAAAUCUACAACUGAUGAGUGGGACAUCUAUGGCUUUAAGGAGAGUCUGAUGUGUGAAUUGUAGCUUGAAUUUGUAUUAACAUUCUCAUCUGCCAGCCACUUCCUCAGCUGCCGGAGGAUCUUUGCACCAUCUUUUCCACCCUCAGUUAUAUGGCCACAAGUGUGAAAAUUGCAGUGCAUGCAUGCAGAGAAUAAAGACGACAUUCUGAGCCUCCCUUACAGUGAGGUAUUGUCCUGUGACUAAGCUCUAGCUAACAGGAUUUGCAUGGAAGUACUGCAUUCAACUUCUGGAUUGCACACUUCAAGGGACAGGGAGAGUUCUCCCUGUUGUUUCUGCCUUGCUGGCUGAAACGCAUCCAUGGUGGUGAGACACCUGGGACUCCACAAUUAAGGGCAGUACCUCGUGGAGUGUGAGAAGCAAUACACAAGAAGCCUGGGACUCUGAACACUUUGUGGAACAAAGCCACUACAGCAGCUCAGACUUUUUCAAGAAGAAAUAAACUUCCAUUUUU
rnacentral:lncRNA from 10 species